rnacentral:tRNA from 1 species
GGCGCUGGGGCCGGAUGGCCAGGCAACUGCCUGCAAAGCAGUGUAAGUGGGUUCGAUUCCCACCGGCGUCU